GGGGUGGUGGCGCAGUUGGCUAGCGCGUAGGUCUCAUAGCUAUUAUUUGAGUUAUCCUGAGGUCGAGAGUUCGAGCCUCUCUCACCCCA
rnacentral:tRNA from 1 species